GUUGCUCCUAGAUUGAUUUUGAUGAUUACAAAGCAGAUUGAAGGGAUACAAACAAUUGAAAAAGUCCUUAUGCUCUUCAAGGGCAAAAUCAUAAUUUCACUAAAAUCCUGAUUUGAUAGUACCAUUUGGUAGAACAAAUGAUUUGAAAUCUAUUGGUGAAAAUUUCAUUGUGUUUGGACUAAUAUUUUUGAAGUUAUGAAGGUUUGAUGUGCAUGAGUCGACUCAUGAGUCAACUCAUGGCACUAUGAGCUGAAUGGCACGAAAAAAAUUCUCAUGGCACGCUGGAUUUUUGGCUUGGCACGACCUGUGAGUCGAC
rnacentral:lncRNA from 1 species